GAUGAACGCUAGCUACAGGCUUAACACAUGCAAGUCGAGGGGUCUUUUAGAGCUUGCUUUAAAAGACGACCGGCGCACGGGUGAGUAACGCGUAUCCAACCUGCCCUUCAUAUUGGUAUAGCCUCCCGAAAGGGAGAUUAAUCCCGAAUAACAUGAGAGAGUUGCCUGAUUUUCUCAUGAAAGCUCCGGCGAUGAAGGAUGGGGAUGCGUUCCAUUAGGUAGUAGGCGGGGUAACGGCCCACCUAGCCGACGAUGGAUAGGGGUUCUGAGAGGAAGGUCCCCCACACUGGAACUGAGACACGGUCCAGACUCCUACGGGAGGCAGCAGUGAGGAAUAUUGGUCAAUGGGCGCAAGCCUGAACCAGCCAAGUAGCGUGAAGGAUGACUGCCCUAUGGGUUGUAAACUUCUUUUAUACGGGAACAAACCUCGGUACGUGUACCGAAUUGCGUGUACCGUAUGAAUAAGCAUCGGCUAACUCCGUGCCAGCAGCCGCGGUAAUACGGAGGAUGCGAGCGUUAUCCGGAUUUAUUGGGUUUAAAGGGAGCGUAGGUGGUCUGUUAAGCCAGCUGUGAAAUACUGUAGCUCAACUACAGCCGUGCAGUUGGAACUGGCGGACUUGAGUGCACUAGAGGAAGGUGGAAUUCGUGGUGUAGCGGUGAAAUGUUUAGAUAUCACGAAGAACUCCGAUUGCGAAGGCAGCCUUCUGGAGUGUAACUGACACUGAUGCUCGAAAGUGUGGGUAUCGAACAGGAUUAGAUACCCUGGUAGUCCACACAGUAAACGAUGGAUACUCGCUGCCGGCGAUACAAUGUCGGUGGCUUAGCGAAAGCGUUAAGUAUCCCACCUGGGGAGUACGCCGGCAACGGUGAAACUCAAAGGAAUUGACGGGGGCCCGCACAAGCGGAGGAACAUGUGGUUUAAUUCGAUGAUACGCGAGGAACCUUACCCAGGCUCGAACGGCAAGUUGAAGGUCGGUGGAGACACCUUCCGCCUUCGGACAAUUUGUCGAGGUGCUGCAUGGUUGUCGUCAGCUCGUGCCGUGAGGUGUCGGCUUAAGUGCCAUAACGAGCGCAACCCUUGCUGUCAGUUGCCAUCGGGUGAUGCCGGGCACUCUGGCGGGACUGCCAUCGCAAGAUGUGAGGAAGGUGGGGAUGACGUCAAAUCAGCACGGCCCUUACGUCUGGGGCUACACACGUGUUACAAUGGGCAGUACAGCGGGAAGCCACCUGGCGACAGGGCGCUGAUCCCGAAAACUGUUCUCAGUUCGGAUUGGAGUCUGUAACCCGACUCCAUGAAGCUGGAUUCGCUAGUAAUCGCGCAUCAGCCAUGGCGCGGUGAAUACGUUCCCGGGCCUUGUACACACCGCCCGUCAAGCCAUGGGAGUCGGCGGUACCUAAAGAGCGGGGUCAUAUCCCGUUUUAGGGUAAAGUCGGUGACUGGGGCUA
rnacentral:rRNA from 1 species